rnacentral:rRNA from 1 species
UACGGAGGGUGCGAGCGUUAAUCGGAAUUACUGGGCGUAAAGGGUGCGUAGGUUGUUGAUUAAGUUAUCUGUGAAAUCCCUGGGCUUAACCUGGGCAGGUCAGAUGAUACUGAUUGACUGGAGUAUGGGAGAGGGUAGUGGAAUUUCCGGUGUAGCGGUGAAAUGCGUAGAGAUCGGAAGGAACACCAGUGGCGAAGGCGGCUACCUGGCCUAAUACUGACACUGAGGCACGAAAGCGUGGGGAGCAAACAGG